UGAGCGCGGGAGAGAAAUUGUGUUUCCUGACAGACUCCCAACUAGAAACCUCUGCUGCUGCGUCUCAGCCCCCCAAGUUACAUUAUUGGCCGGGGGUCCCUACUCGCAAACGCCUGGGAAGGACGCAGCUCUGGCCCAAUCACUGACCCCACUGGUGGUUGCUAAGUGACCAUCACGCUGCCGGGCCACUGAGAGAGAAGCCCAAGGAUGCUAAAGGCCAAGUUAAGCUGCUGCGCAGACAAUGGGGUCCCAGGGAGCCCUGAGCCGCCAGAAAUAGCUGCUGUUGUGGAAGGAAGCGCAAUCGCGAGGUGCCGGAGCAGGAAAACGCUCUUACGCCAACAGCCCUUCCGAUGAGUCCGUUUGGUACAUGUACAGCGCAGGAGAUCAAAGGAAAAUGAGGGAAUUUUCAGAAGUGUGAAGCCCCUGAGAGUCGCCAGAUGCGCCACGUUAGACUGGAACUAGAGAGCCGCCUGGAUCCCCUGCCAGAACCUGCUAAUCCCGGGAGCAGAUCCGAUUAAUCCCCGGCCUCUUGAUCUUGUGUGAAAAUCCUGCAUGGCUGGUGUGCCCGCCCUGGCGUAACUGCCCCCGGCCCCCCCCCAGACUUUAUCCUGCCAGUAAACACAGGAAUCUACACCCUCAGCACUAAUGCGGGG